rnacentral:rRNA from 1 species
AACGAACGCUGGCGGCAUGCCUAACACAUGCAAGUCGAACGAGACCUUCGGGUCUAGUGGCGCACGGGUGCGUAACGCGUGGGAACCUGCCCUUAGGUUCGGAAUAACUCCCCGAAAGGGGUGCUAAUACCGGAUAAUGUCUUCGGACCAAAGAUUUAUCGCCUGUGGAUGGGCCCGCGUUGGAUUAGCUAGUUGGUAGGGUAAAAGCCUACCAAGGCGACGAUCCAUAGCUGGUCUGAGAGGAUGAUCAGCCACACUGGGACUGAGACACGGCCCAGACUCAGAGGGGAGGCAGCAGUGGGGAAUAUUGGAGAAUGGGAGGAAGCCUGAGGGAGAAAAGACGCGUGCGGGAUGACGGAAUAAGGGGUGUAAAGAGCGUUCGCCUGUGACGAAGCGUGAGGGACGGUAAUGGGUAAAGAAGAAACGGCUAACUACGUG